rnacentral:pre_miRNA from 1 species
UGGACAUAUUAUUGUAUUCGACUGUAUUCACUCACGGCGUGAAACUGGGGAUUACACUGUUUUUAAACGAAAAGUGAAUCAAUUAAUAUAAUAGACUCCU